rnacentral:rRNA from 1 species
GUGAAAUUCCGUCGGAAUCCGGGAGGACCAUCUCCCAAGGCUAAAUACUCCCUAGUGACCGAUAGUGAACCAGUACCGUGAGGGAAAGGUGAAAAGCACCCCGGAAGGGGAGUGAAACAGUUCCUGAAACCGUGUGCCUACAAGUAGUUAGAGCCCGUUAAUGGGUGAUAGCGUGCCUUUUGUAGAAUGAACCGGCGAGUUACGAUUUGUUGCAAGGUUAAGCGGAAAAAGCGGAGCCGUAGCGAAAGCGAGUCUGAAUAGGGCGCAUAAGUAACAGGUCGUAGACCCGAAACCAGGUGAUCUACCCAUGUCCAGGAUGAAGGUAAGGUAAUACUUACUGGAGGUCCGAACCCACGCACGUUGAAAAGUGCGGGGAUGAGGUGUGGGUAGCGGAGAAAUUCCAAUCGAACUUGGAGAUAGCUGGUUCUCUCCGAAAUAGCUUUAGGGCUAGCCUCGAGGUAAAGAGUCAUGGAGGUAGAGCACUGUUUGGACUAGGGGCCCUUCUCGGGUUACCGAAUUCAGAUAAACUCCGAAUGCCAUGUACUUAUACUCGGGAGUCAGACUGCGAGUGAUAAGAUCCGUAGUCGAAAGGGAAACAGCCCAGACCACCAGUUAAGGUCCCCAAAUAUAUGUUAAGUGGAAAAGGAUGUGGGGUUGCUUAGACAACCAGGAUGUUGGCUUAGAAGCAGCCACCAUUGAAAGAGUGCGUAAUAGCUCACUGGUCGAGUGACCCCGCGCCGAAAAUGUACCGGGGCUAAACAUAUUACCGAAACUGUGGAUGAACCUCUUUAGAGGUUCGUGGUAGGAGAGCGUUCUAAGGGCGGUGAAGUCAGACCGGAAGGACUGGUGGAGCGCUUAGAAGUGAGAAUGCCGGUAUGAGUAGCGAAAGAAGGGUGAGAAUCCCUUCCACCGAAUAUCUAAGGUUUCCUGAGGAAGGCUCGUCCGCUCAGGGUUAGUCGGGACCUAAGCCGAGGCCGAUAGGCGUAGGCGAUGGACAACAGGUAGAGAUUCCUGUACCAGUGCUAAUUGUUUAACCGAUGGGGUGACACAGAAGGAUAGGGAAUCGCACGAAUGGAAAUGUGCGUCCAAGCAGUGAGUGUGAGAAGUAGGCAAAUCCGCUUCUCGCGAAGCAUGAGCUGUGAUGGGGAAGGAAAUUAAGUACGGAAGUUCCUGAUUUCACGCUGUCAAGAAAAGCCUCUAGGAAGAGUAGUACUGCCCGUACCGCAAACCGACACAGGUAGAUGAGGAGAGAAUCCUAAGGUGAGCGAGAGAACUCUCGUUAAGGAACUCGGCAAAAUGACCCCGUAACUUCGGGAGAAGGGGUGCUCUAUUAGGGUGCAAGCCCGAGAGAGCCGCAGUGAAUAGGCCCAGGCGACUGUUUAGCAAAAACACAGGUCUCUGCAAAACCGUAAGGUGACGUAUAGGGGCUGACGCCUGCCCGGUGCUGGAAGGUUAAGAGGAGUGCUUAGCUUCGGCGAAGGUACGAAUUGAAGCCCCAGUAAACGGCGGCCGUAACUAUAACGGUCCUAAGGUAGCGAAAUUCCUUGUCGGGUAAGUUCCGACCCGCACGAAAGGCGCAACGAUCUGGGCACUGUCUCAACGAGAGACUCGGUGAAAUUAUAGUACCUGUGAAGAUGCAGGUUACCCGCGACAGGACGGAAAGACCCCGUGGAGCUUUACUGCAACCUGAUAUGGAAUGUUUGUACCGCUUGUACAGGAUAGGUAGGAGCCGAAGAGACGUGUGCGCUAGCAUACGAGGAGGCAAUGGUGGGAUACUACCCUGGCUGUAUGACCAUUCUAACCCGCCACGCUUAGCGCGUGGGGAGACAGUGUCAGGUGGGCAGUUUGACUGGGGCGGUCGCCUCCUAAAGAGUAACGGAGGCGCCCAAAGGUUCCCUCAGAAUGGAUGGAAAUCAUUCGCAGAGUGUAAAGGCACAAGGGAGCUUGACUGCGAGACUGACAAGUCGAGCAGGGACGAAAGUCGGGCUUAGUGAUCCGGUGGUUCCGCAUGGAAGGGCCAUCGCUCAACGGAUAAAAGCUACCCCGGGGAUAACAGGCUUAUCUCCCCCAAGAGUCCACAUCGACGGGGAGGUUUGGCACCUCGAUGUCGGCUCGUCGCAUCCUGGGGCUGUAGUCGGUCCCAAGGGUUGGGCUGUUCGCCCAUUAAAGCGGCACGCGAGCUGGGUUCAGAACGUCGUGAGACAGUUCGGUCCCUAUCCGUCGCGGGCGCAGGAAAUUUGAGAGGAGCUGUCCUUAGUACGAGAGGACCGGGAUGGACACACCGCUGGUGUACCAGUUGUUCCGCCAGGAGCAUCGCUGGGUAGCUAUGUGUGGCAGGGAUAAACGCUGAAAGCAUCUAAGCGUGAAGCCCCCCUCAAGAUGAGAUUUCCCAUUUCUUCGGAAAGUAAGAUCCCUGAAAGAUGAUCAGGUAGAUAGGUUUGGAGUGGAAGUGUAGCGAUACAUGGAGCGGACAAAUACUAAUCGAUCGAGGACUUAACCAAAA